rnacentral:rRNA from 1 species
GAUGAACGCUGACAGAAUGCUUAACACAUGCAAGUCAACUUGAAUUUGGGUUUUUAACUUAGGUUUGGGUGGCGGACGGGUGAGUAACGCGUAAAGAACUUGCCUCACAGCUAGGGACAACAUUUGGAAACGAAUGCUAAUACCUAAUAUUAUGAUAAUAGGGCAUCCUAUAAUUAUGAAAGCUAUAAGCGCUGUGAGAGAGCUUUGCGUCCCAUUAGCUAGUUGGAGAGGUAACGGCUCACCAAGGCGAUGAUGGGUAGCCGGCCUGAGAGGGUGAUCGGCCACAAGGGGACUGAGACACGGCCCUUACUCCUACGGGAGGCAGCAGUGGGGAAUAUUGGACAAUGGACCGAGAGUCUGAUGCAGCAAUUCUGUGUGCACGAUGAAGUUUUUCGGAAUGUAAAGUGCUUUCAGUUGGGAAGAAACAAAUGACGGUACCAACAGAAGAAGUGACGGCUAAAUACGUG